rnacentral:rRNA from 1 species
AGUCAUAUGCUUGUCUCAAAGAUUAAGCCAUGCAUGUCUAAGUAUAAGCUUUUUGUACUGUGAAACUGCGAAUGGCUCAUUAAAUCAGUUAUCGUUUAUUUGAUCGCACCUUUACUACAUGGAUACCUGUGGUAAUUCUAGAGCUAAUACAUGCUUAAAACCCCGACUUCGGAAGGGGUGUAUUUAUUAGAUAAAAAACCAACGCCCUUCGGGGCUUCUUGGUGAAUCAUAAUAACUUAACGAAUCGCAUGGCCUUGCGCCGGCGAUGGUUCAUUCAAAUUUCUGCCCUAUCAACUUUCGAUGGUAGGAUAGUGGCCUACCAUGGUGGCAACGGGUAACGGGGAAUUAGGGUUCGAUUCCGGAGAGGGAGCCUGAGAAACGGCUACCACAUCCAAGGAAGGCAGCAGGCGCGCAAAUUACCCAAUCCCGAUACGGGGAGGUAGUGACAAUAAAUACUGAUACGGGGCUCUUUUGGGUCUCGUAAUUGGAAUGAGAACAAUUUAAAUCCCUUAACGAGGAACAAUUGGAGGGCAAGUCUGGUGCCAGCAGCCGCGGUAAUUCCAGCUCCAAUAGCGUAUAUUAAAGUUGUUGCAGUUAAAAAGCUCGUAGUUGAACCUUGGGUACGGCUGCCGGUCCGCCUCACCGCGAGUACUGGUCGGCUGGACCUUUCCUCUGGGAACUCAUGGCUCACUGCUGUGGGGGAACAGGACUUUACUGUGAAAAAUAGAGUGUCAAGCAGGCCUUGCUGAAUCAUAGCAUGA